AUUAAACGCUGGCGGCAUGCCUUACACAUGCAAGUCGAACGGCAGCACGGGGGCAACCUUGGUGGCGAGUGGCGAACGGGUGAGUAAAGCAUCGGAACGUGCCCUGGAGUGGGGGGAUAACGUAGCGAAAGUUACGCUAAUACCGCAUAUUCUGUGAGCAGGAAAGCAGGGGAUCGCAAGACCUUGCGCUCUGGGAGCGGCCGAUGUCGGAUUAGCUAGUUGGUGGGGUAAAGGCCUACCAAGGCGACGAUCCGUAGCGGGUCUGAGAGGAUGAUCCGCCACACUGGGACUGAGACACGGCCCAGACUCCUACGGGAGGCAGCAGUGGGGAAUUUUGGACAAUGGGCGAAAGCCUGAUCCAGCCAUGCCGCGUGAGUGAAGAAGGCCUGGUGUAAGACGUCUUCGUGGGUAGAAGUAGUA
rnacentral:rRNA from 1 species